rnacentral:rRNA from 1 species
CCUACGGUGGGCAGCAGUGAGGAAUAUUGGUCAAUGGACGGAAGUCUGAACCAGCCAUGCCGCGUGCAGGAAGACGGCUCUAUGAGUUGUAAACUGCUUUUGUACAAGGGUAAACCUGAAUACGUGUAUUCAGCUGAAAGUACUGUACGAAUAAGGAUCGGCUAACUCCGUGCCAGCAGCCGCGGUAAUACGGAGGAUUCAAGCGUUAUCCGGAUUUAUUGGGUUUAAAGGGUGCGUCGGUUGUUUUUUAAGUCAGCGGUGAAAGUUUGUGGCUCAACCAUAAAAUUGCCGUUGAAACUGGAAGACUUGAGUGUGUGUGAGGUAGGCGGAAUGCGUGGUGUAGCGGUGAAAUGCAUAGAUAUCACGCAGAACCCCGAUUGCGAAGGCAGCAUGCCGGCUUCAGACUGACGCUGAAGCACGAAAGCGUGGGGAUCGAACAGGAUUAGAUACCCUAGUAGUC